rnacentral:rRNA from 1 species
CCUACGGGAGGCAGCAGUGAGGAAUAUUGGUCAAUGGACGAGAGUCUGAACCAGCCAAGUAGCGUGAAGGAUGACUGCCCUAUGGGUUGUAAACUUCUUUUAUAAAGGAAUAAAACGAGGCACGUGUGCCUUUUUGCAUGUACUUUAUGAAUAAGGAUCGGCUAACUCCGUGCCAGCAGCCGCGGUAAUACGGAGGAUCCGAGCGUUAUCCGGAUUUAUUGGGUUUAAAGGGAGCGUAGAUGGGUUGUUAAGUCAGUUGUGAAAGUUUGCGGCUCAACCGUAAAAUUGCAAUUGAUACUGGCAGUCUUGAGUACAGUUGAGGUAGGCGGAAUUCGUGGUGUAGCGGUGAAAUGCUUAGAUAUCACGAAGAACCCCGAUUGCGAAGGCAGCUUACUAAACUGUGACUGACAUUGAUGCACGAAAGCGUGGGUAUCGAACAGGAUUAGAUACCCGAGUAGUC